GUUCUGGGUAAUGCCAAGAAAGGCAUGAGGAAAGGGACUAUGAAAAGAAACAGAUGCCACUUGGGUCAUCCUGUUCGCCCACAUGACUUGAUGCUUUGUCAGAGGUUCCUCUUGGGGACAGUGUUGCUCCAGAAAUGCCAAGACACCCGCACUCCCUCAGGCCACCCCCAUCUACAUGGCCUUCCACCCUUCAGGGUUUUCUUUUGAUCCUUACACUUCUGAAGUUUCACUGCUAUCUGUGAAGCUUGGAGAAAGCAUUAUGCUAAGUGAACUAGAAAUGUCAGGACUAUGGGACCAGAUAGUGCAAGAAGGGUCAAGAUGUGGGCAUGCUGGAGUGGAUAUACAAUGUGAAGCUGUAAAGACCCCAGAAAAACCCAGUGGAUUAUUUGUCCUCUAUUUACCAAGGCGA